AAAGCUCCUACUUCUGAGGCCGCGCUUUGUGAGGCUCGACUGCCACACGCUGCCCCAGGCGCGCAGCGCGAAAACGCCCGAAACGCCUCAGAACAGCAUUCCUACUGAAGAGAUCUAUGAGCAUGAGGUCCUCAGCAGCACACUGACAGAGAUCUGCAAAUGUGUGUGAUUUGUUGGUUUUUCAACAUCUUUAAUGAGGGAGCUACAGAAGCAGAGCAAUCUCUCCAGAGAAGCCUGGAAAAGAUUCAAAAGCAAAGAAUGCAAAAGAAGCAAAGGUGUAACAAAGACACAGACUUCAUGCACCUCAAUUAGCUAUGAGUAAGCUGAUGGAUGUCUUCAACCAUAGUUCUGGUAACACAUUUGUGGAAUUGUUUUUAAGCCUUAUCAGUCACUGUAUCCUUCCUACUCCUCAUAUCUUGCAUCCAAGACUCUGACAUUCUCUCCUCUUCCCUCAGCCACCUCUCUCCUGCUUCCCUGUUAGUGUGUUGGGAGCUUACAUUUUCCCAGUGCAACCUUUCUGCUUCUCAACCCACCAUGCUACUUUACAGAGCCAAAGAGAGGAUGAAGAACUUAAGAAGCAGGAUGUACAUGCUUCCCCUUGUUCACAGUGCUGUGCAGCUCCCACACAUGAUCCAGAGUAAGGCAGGAAUCAGCUUCCCUGCACAUGUGCCAUAAGAUAGGCACUACACAAGAAAGCCUGGGAAUGGCUAAACUUAAAUAGGGAUUCAAAAGGUCUUUUAGAAGUCCCCAUGGACUUAAAACUUGUCUUCAGCUCAUCAGAUUAACUUUUUGGUUUUUUUCCCCAACGUAACUUAUCACAAUUUUUCUGUUCAAAUUGGUCUAAAAUAAAGUGUAACUGCUGUAAA